CUAAAUGCCUCCUUGCCUCUGUCUAAGGCAGGUGGUUAGGUUGCAAGCUUCAGCUAGGCAUCCGAGGCCUGCAUGGGAGAGGAGAAGGAUCAAGCUACUUUAUCUCCUUAUGGACAGAAGACACGUAGAUGUCCUGGAGUGCCGAUAAGUCAACUACUUCUGUCCUUUCUUUCCUUAGCCAAAGGAAACACUCCCUUCCCGAAUAGGGAUGAGGAGGAGAGGACGACGAAGAACCCAAUUGCAGUUUGUGAAGCAAGAGAGAGGCUCAGAGGAUGUCGGACCACAACAGUUAGAAGCUCGUGGCCUUCACUGCUAACCAACCACAAACAAACCAGUGAACACCCAUCCUGCUUUCACUCUGCAUUCUGUGCUGUGUGGAGGGAUUGUCUGCUGGCCCCUGGGAGGUGAAGUUCUGUGUUAGUCCUGGAGCACCUGCCUCCAUCCAUUGCUGGGGGUCGUUCUCUUGAUCAUCUCUUGGUGUGGCUGAGUGUUUCUACAAACAGAAACUCAUCGACAGACGUCCUCUGGUGCCCACUGACAAGCUAGCAGCAAACCCACCCAGCCUGCUGCUUUGUGGAUGCCGAUGGCAGUGUCCCUGAGUGCUUUUGGGGCACACCGCCUGUGUGUUAAAUAUCCUCUAAUAGGUAUACGUUUGAAACAUUUAAGAUUUUUUCAUUGGGGGAAAAAUAUCCUGGCAUUUAUGGUUGGGACACAAUUUCCUAAAACUGAAAUUGUUUGAAAUUCAGUUUACAAGAGAGUAUAUUUACAUAAAUGUGAAUGCCACCUCAGAUUUAAGAUCACCAAAGCAUAGAAUGACCUUGUGUUGCGGUGGAGGAGGUCUCUGUGAGUCCUGUUUUUACUCAGGCUGAGGGAGGUGGAGGGAGCUGUGCAAGGCUGUGCCUUGAUUAGUGCAGGAGCCGAGCCCAUGUCCACAAGGCUGCGCUCUGAGCCUUCAGCCUGCUCUGCCCAGCCAUCGGAGAGGCACCGUUCUGGGCUCCGUGUCUGCAGGCUCUGCUGAUUGACUUUUAGUGACAUGAGAGAGAGAGUCCUUCUGUCAAAGAAAUGGCAGGAUAGCUUUGAUGGCUGACGUAGAGUGAGUAGGACUCAGGCUCCACACUGGAAACCAGAGGUGGGAGGCUUCCCCGGGCGCUGUCAGCGUUGGUGCACGCAGAUGGAGGUCCUCUCUUGGGCUCCGUGAGCUUUCUAAAGCAGUGCCUCGUCUUCAGUAAGGGGUAUUUCAUGCUUCUUUCUCAUCUUUGUUUAUGUCCUGUUGCCAUCUUCUUGACCUGAGUUCUGUUUCUCCUUCGCUCAUACCUCAUGGAGAGGUCUGACAAGAAGACUGAACAGGAAGCAUUCUUUAAAAAAGAAAAAUAAUUCUGCUGUUCCAGCAUUAUUUUUCAUACUAUGCUAAUCAUUUUUUAAUACAUUGUGCAGAUGGUAGGUUGUAUUUUUGCGGAGUUUUUUUUUUCAAGCCAAGUUCAUAGACAUGAUCUUGAAUUUGUAAUGCUGUAUUCAUAAGUGUCUUUUUUGGUUGUCAAAAUAGUGCUGUCUUUAAAAAGUACAAUGUAGACACCCUGGGUAAGGCUGAUUAUUUCUGCUUUCUUUCUUUAUAAAAAAAAUAACUAUUUUUUUCCUUAUUACAAAAGUAACAUUUAUUGUAGAAAAUAGGAAAAGGGGAUAAAAGAAAAAAGAGGGACAAUAAAUUGCCCUCAAAAACAGCCGUCUCUUCUCACUCCCCCUUUUUUGGUCAUACAAUGAGCAACAUGAUACGAAUUCAUUCAGUUCCAUCUUAACUGUCUUGUGUCAGAGAGAGAGGGAACAAAAUAUCUGGCUUGGAGGAAGAUUAAUAGAAGGGUAAUCAUGUGGAGUUUGCAUGAUAGACGGAAAGGCCAGGGGUUUGGGGAACACAGAGGUCUGGAGUUCAAUUCAAGAAUUAAGUUAAGUUGUAUGUUCUUGGAAAGUUACUUGCCUGCCUUUUAACUGUCAGUUAGGCAAGUGGUUAUUUUGGGAGGUGUUCCGUGAGGAGCCUCAGGAGCUAGGGGUCCACCUAGACCACUGUGAUAGCACAGGCAGCGAUAGCUCUCCCCUUCUGAGCGCCCGCCGCCCGCAGAGCUAGUUCUCUGGCCAACUUUUGCUGUAAAGGGCCACCUAAUAAAUAUUUUAGGCUUUGUGGACCGAGGGCAGAAUCAAGCAUAUAAUGCGGGUACUUAUAUAACCAUUUAAAAAUGUACCCAUUUAAAAAUGUAAAAAGAUAUUCUUAGGUCGUGGGUCAUACGAAAACCAGCAGUGGGCCUGCUAAAAAAUGUCUUCUCAUAUUACUUGCAAUCGUCAUGACCCUGCCCAGGUAGCACACUUCUGAUAAAUGGUGGAGCCCAGAGCCCACCUCAGUGUGCACAUCCCCUCUUCUACCUGAAGGUUGGUCAUUGUAAUGAAUGUAAUCCCUGGGACCACAUUUACCUCGUUCUGCACCCUCAGCUUUGUGUCUUUCUCUUCCACCUCACUCCCUUCCUCCCCCUGAUCCCCAGUCCUUCUCUCUGCCCACCUUGCUCCCCCAGCCCUGCCCUCAUCCUUGACCCACCAAGCUCUCUUCCUCCUCAGGGCCUUUUCAUGGCUGCCUCUUCAUAGAAUGCCCUGCCCUGCGUGCUGGCUGACUCCUUUCCUUCAGGUCUCAGUUCAGUUGUUACCUCAUUUGGAGAAGCCUUGUUAAAAUCCUUGUCCUGGUGCUGUAGGCAUUCUAUCACAUCAUUCUUUCCUUUUCAGAUUCCUUCCUUCCUUCCCUCCCCUUCUUAGCAUCCCUCACAUUCUGUAAUUGUAUCGUGUUGUCUGUUUCCAUGUUUGUCUGCUUCUGCCCAGUAGAAUGGAAGCUCUUCCUCAAGGGCAGGGUCAGGACUUCUUCCUUUUCAUUGAUGCCUUCCCAGGGCCAGAAUAGUGUCUGGAACAUUCUAGGUGCUUGGUAAAUAUUUGACAGAUGUCUUAAUUUGUCUCACUAACUGUCCUUAUGUUUCAGAAAUCAGCUUAAAUUUUCAGUGUGGGCUUUCCUGAUUCCGCCUCACCCGGGUGGGUCUCUUAUGAUACCCUGUUAUUUUCCUUUGUAGCUAGAAGAGCCACCUAUUAUUUGGAAAGCCCAGCACCUGAGGAAGAGAGUCAGCGCCUCGCCUGUGGAAGGAGGUAUGAGGUGUGACUCUCAGGAACCACCAGUGGCCAGGAUCCCUCUGUGAGGUAGGGUCUCCUCCGCAGGGAGACACUGGCCUGCAGUCAUUACCUGACUCCAGGUGUUGCAGGAGCUCAGGGUAGUGCUUCUCAACCUUGCUGUGCUUAAGAGACACCUGGGGUCUUGGGCAGGUUCUGAUUUAAAUAAUCUGGGCUGGGACCAAGAUUCUGAAUUUCUGACCUGCUUUUAGGUGCUGCUGAGAGCUUCUGCUCAGCACACCACUCACAGUAACAAAGGCCCGGGUCAGGGUUUCUCAGCCUUGGCACUGUUGACACUUUGGGUCACAUUAUUCUUUGUUGUGGGGGCUGUCAAGUGUGUUGUAAGAUGCCUAGUACCAUUCCUGGCCUCUACUCACCUGGUGCCAGCAGUGCUCCUCCAGGUGUGAAAGAACCAGAAAUGUCUUCAGCCAUUGCAGAUAUCCAGGGAAUGGGGGUGUGGGGCAAAAUCAUCUCCAAUUGAGAACCACUGGCCUAGAUGCUUCUCUGCCCUUAGUUUGUUUUUCAAUGAUUCUUUGGAUUCUCUGAGCCAAUGAAUUUCCCUUUUGCUUAAGCUAGUUUAGUUAAAUAUUUAUGAACUUUUAAUUAAAUCUGACAAUUUACAUACAUGUAAGUAUGUAGUUAUGUAUGUGGUUUUACAUAUAUUGCCUGUGUACUCCACCAAGCUCUGUAAGUGUACAUGCCAUGUAUGUUUAUUUUAAUACUUAGCCUGGGGUCCAAUCUGUGGGAGGUAGUGGAUAAAUGCCAACUGAAUGAAUGAAAUUCUAUAAGGGAUGGUGUAUACAUGCUUUUUCCUUUCCUUUUGAGCUCUAUGAUCUUUUUCAGAAAUAUUUUAUUGAAGUAUAUCUACCCUAAAAAGUACACAUAAGUAUACAGCUUGAUGAAUUUUCACACAUUGAACACUCGUGUGUUAUAGGCCCCCAGAUCAGCAACAGAACAUGCUCAGCAUCCCAGAAGCAUCUCCUUAUGCUCCCUUCUACUCUAAUCUUUUAAAAAUUUCUUCCUUUUUAAUAAUGAAAAGGAAUCCUUGUUCGCUCUUGAAAAUUUUAAAAGUACAGAGAAGCAAAAGGAGAAAAACAUCAUACUCUCUUUGAGUGCAUAAAUUUUAACAUUUUGUGCAUCCUUUCAGUGUUUUCAGUGCCUAUAUGUGCACAUAAAUGUGUUGCUUGAACUAAAAUGGGGUCAGUAGAAUCAGAUUCUACUCUAUAAUAUGAAUCAGAUUCAUAUUAUACUGUCUAGCUUUUCUCACUUCAUACCACAUUGUGAACGUAUCUCCCUGUGAAUAAAUGCACAUCUAAUCCAUUGUUGUAAUGGUGAUGGGGAAUUCCGUUGAAUGGAUAUACCACAAUUUACUUAACCCAUCCCUUUUUCUUGGUCAUCUCUUAGAAAGUUGAAUAUUUAGAUGGUUCCCAUUUUCACUCUUAUAAACACUCUUCCA
rnacentral:lncRNA from 1 species